UACAGGGGGUGCUAGCGUUGUUCGGAAUUACUGGGCGUAAAGCGUGCGCAGGCGGUUCGUUAAGUUCGUUGUGAAAGCCCCGGGCUCAACCUGGGAACUGCAUUGGAAACUAACGGGCUCGAGUGUGGCAGAGGGGGGUGGAAUUCCACGUGUAGCAGUGAAAUGCGUAGAGAUGUGGAGGAACACCGAUGGCGAAGGCAGCCCCCUGGGCUAACACUGACGCUCAGGCACGAAAGCGUGGGGAGCAAACAGG
rnacentral:rRNA from 1 species